CACUACUCUUCCAUCCCUAUCCACCAUUAGACACUGUGAUAAUAAGUAUAGAGGGAGGAGUUGGAGGGAGAUUCCUGUUUGAUAUGCAUCCCAGUCAGACAUCAUGGUGGUGAGGAGGUCUUGGUUCUUCACAAUCUUCAUCAUCUCAGCUCUUCUCUCACUCUCCAUGUCCCAAGGGUAUGGAAGAAGAACCAUUCUUGUGAGGUCUUCAGAAGCUGUGAGGUCUCCAUCUGAACAUGAGGAAGGGAUAUGGGAAGUCAGGGAGAUGGUGGAGACAACCAUGGACUACAAGGAACCUGGAGCUAACACCAACCCUAGAAGUGGCUUGUCACCCCCACCCCCAACUUAAAGACCUUCUUAGCCUACCUCUAAAGCAUUACUGUUUGUUGAGAAGUAUGUCACUGUGAAUUGUGUGCCCUUUGGUUCCCUAUAGCUUGCAGUGUUUAUGUAGCAGAAAAGUGUCGUUAUUGUUGAGGAGACUUGGUGAUGUAAAUUUAUUUAUGUUGAAUCAAAACAUUUAAAGUAUAUUAGCAUACA